AUGGCAGGGCCACGCCCCAGCCCAUGGGCCAGGCUGCUCCUGGCAGCCUUGAUCAGCGUCAGCCUCUCUGGGACCUUGGCAAACCGCUGCAAGAAGGCCCCAGUGAAGAGCUGCACGGAGUGUGUCCGUGUGGAUAAGGACUGUGCCUACUGCACAGACGAGCUAUUCAGGGACCGGCGCUGCAACACUCAGGCGGAGCUGCUGGCCGCGGGCUGCCAGCGGGAGAGCAUCAUGGUCAUGGAGAGCAGCUUCCAGAUCACAGAGGAGACCCAGAUUGACACCACCCUGCGGCGCAGCCAGAUGUCCCCCCAGGGCCUGCGGGUCCGUCUGCGGCCCGGUGAGGAGCGGCACUUUGAGCUGGAGGUGUUUGAGCCACUGGAGAGCCCCGUGGACCUGUACAUCCUCAUGGACUUCUCCAACUCCAUGUCCGAUGAUCUGGACAACCUCAAGAAGAUGGGGCAGAACCUGGCUCGGGUCCUGAGCCAGCUCACCAGCGACUACACUAUUGGAUUUGGCAAGUUUGUGGACAAAGUCAGCGUCCCGCAGACGGACAUGAGGCCUGAGAAGCUGAAGGAGCCCUGGCCCAACAGUGACCCCCCCUUCUCCUUCAAGAACGUCAUCAGCCUGACAGAAGAUGUGGAUGAGUUCCGGAAUAAACUGCAGGGAGAGCGGAUCUCAGGCAACCUGGAUGCUCCUGAGGGCGGCUUCGAUGCCAUCCUGCAGACAGCUGUGUGCACGAGGGACAUUGGCUGGCGCCCGGACAGCACCCACCUGCUGGUCUUCUCCACCGAGUCAGCCUUCCACUAUGAGGCUGAUGGCGCCAACGUGCUGGCUGGCAUCAUGAGCCGCAACGAUGAACGGUGCCACCUGGACACCACGGGCACCUACACCCAGUACAGGACACAGGACUACCCGUCGGUGCCCACCCUGGUGCGCCUGCUCGCCAAGCACAACAUCAUCCCCAUCUUUGCUGUCACCAACUACUCCUAUAGCUACUACGAGAAGCUUCACACCUAUUUCCCUGUCUCCUCACUGGGGGUGCUGCAGGAGGACUCGUCCAACAUCGUGGAGCUGCUGGAGGAGGCCUUCAAUCGAAUCCGCUCCAACCUGGACAUCCGGGCCCUAGACAGCCCCCGAGGCCUUCGGACAGAGGUCACCUCCAAGAUGUUCCAGAAGACGAAGACUGGGUCCUUUCACAUCCGGCGGGGGGAAGUGGGUAUAUACCAGGUGCAGCUGCGGGCCCUUGAGCACGUGGAUGGGACGCACGUGUGCCAGCUGCCGGAGGACCAGAAGGGCAACAUCCAUCUGAAACCUUCCUUCUCCGACGGCCUCAAGAUGGACGCGGGCAUCAUCUGUGAUGUGUGCACCUGCGAGCUGCAAAAAGAGGUGCGGUCAGCUCGCUGCAGCUUCAAUGGAGACUUCAUGUGCGGACACUGUGUGUGCAGUGAGGGCUGGAGUGGCCAGACCUGCAACUGCUCCACCGGCUCUCUGAGUGACAUUCAGCCCUGCCUGCGGGAGGGCGAGGACAAGCCGUGCUCCGGCCGUGGGGAGUGCCAGUGCGGGCACUGUGUGUGCUACGGCGAAGGCCGCUACGAGGGUCAGUUCUGCGAGUAUGACAACUUCCAGUGUCCCCGCACUUCCGGGUUCCUCUGCAAUGACCGAGGACGCUGCUCCAUGGGCCAGUGUGUGUGUGAGCCUGGUUGGACAGGCCCAAGCUGUGACUGUCCCCUCAGCAAUGCCACCUGCAUCGACAGCAAUGGGGGCAUCUGUAAUGGACGUGGCCACUGUGAGUGUGGCCGCUGCCACUGCCACCAGCAGUCGCUCUACACGGACACCAUCUGCGAGAUCAACUACUCGGCGAUCCACCCGGGCCUCUGCGAGGACCUACGCUCCUGUGUGCAGUGCCAGGCGUGGGGCACUGGGGAGAAGAAGGGGCGCACGUGUGAGGAAUGCAACUUCAAGGUCAAGAUGGUGGAUGAGCUUAAGAGAGCCGAGGAGGUGGUGGUGCGCUGCUCCUUCCGGGACGAGGAUGACGACUGCACCUACAGCUACACCAUGGAAGGUGACGGCGCCCCUGGGCCCAACAGCACUGUCCUGGUGCACAAGAAGAAGGACUGCCCUCCGGGCUCCUUCUGGUGGCUCAUCCCCCUGCUCCUCCUCCUCCUGCCGCUCCUGGCCCUGCUACUGCUGCUAUGCUGGAAGUACUGUGCCUGCUGCAAGGCCUGCCUGGCACUUCUCCCGUGCUGCAACCGAGGUCACAUGGUGGGCUUUAAGGAAGACCACUACAUGCUGCGGGAGAACCUGAUGGCCUCUGACCACUUGGACACGCCCAUGCUGCGCAGCGGGAACCUCAAGGGCCGUGAUGUGGUCCGCUGGAAGGUCACCAACAACAUGCAGCGGCCUGGCUUUGCCACUCAUGCCGCCAGCAUCAACCCCACAGAGCUGGUGCCCUACGGGCUGUCCUUGCGCCUGGCCCGCCUUUGCACCGAGAACCUGCUGAAGCCUGACACUCGGGAGUGCGCCCAGCUGCGCCAGGAGGUGGAGGAGAAUGUAAGGACCCAGGAACUAGGCCUGGCCGGAGAUGUGGCUGAACGAGGUCUACAGGCAGAUCUCCGGUGUACACAAGCUCCAGCAGACCAAGUUCCGGCAGCAGCCCAAUGCCGGGAAAAAGCAAGACCACACCAUUGUGGACACAGUGCUGAUGGCGCCCCGCUCGGCCAAGCCGGCCCUGCUGAAGCUUACAGAGAAGCAGGUGGAACAGAGGGCCUUCCACGACCUCAAGGUGGCCCCUGGCUACUACACCCUCACUGCAGACCAGGACGCCCGGGGCAUGGUGGAGUUCCAGGAGGGCGUGGAGCUGGUGGACGUACGGGUGCCCCUCUUUAUCCGGCCUGA
rnacentral:sRNA from 1 species